AUGAACGCUGGCGGCGUGCCUAAUACAUGCAAGUCGAGCGAACAGACGAGGAGCUUGCUCCUCUGACGUUAGCGGCGGACGGGUGAGUAACACGUGGAUAACCUACCUAUAAGACUGGGAUAACUUCGGGAAACCGGAGCUAAUACCGGAUAAUAUAUUGAACCGCAUGGUUCAAUAGUGAAAGACGGUUUUGCUGUCACUUAUAGAUGGAUCCGCGCCGCAUUAGCUAGUUGGUAAGGUAACGGCUUACCAAGGCAACGAUGCGUAGCCGACCUGAGAGGGUGAUCGGCCACACUGGAACUGAGACACGGUCCAGACUCCUACGGGAGGCAGCAGUAGGGAAUCUUCCGCAAAGGGCGAAAGCCUGACGGAGCAACGCCGCGUGAGUGAUGAAGGUCUUCGGAUCGUAAAACUCUGUUAUUAGGGAAGAACAAAUGUGUAAGUAACUAUGCACGUCUUGACGGUACCUAAUCAGAAAGCCACGGCUAACUACGUA
rnacentral:rRNA from 1 species